ACGUAAUCGUCUGUCACGUCCAUUUGAAUUUUGAUUGAGUCUCAAUCAUUGAUGUUAUUCUGCAUUCAUCAGCGAAUUUUGCUUAACGUUUUUCGUGUCCUCGUUAUUUUCCGUUGACAACAAUCAAGGAGCACUUAUUUAAAUGGUGAGAAGAAUUUUUAAUCGACGGAGGUCGCAUGAAGUUUUUAAAAAAUUCCUCCAGUCUCGUCUCGUUUGUUGUUCUUAUUCCCGGUGUCGCACUUAUGGCUUGUUUUCAUGUUCUACUGUUUGUCUGGGGAAGGC